rnacentral:rRNA from 1 species
UACGGGGGGAGCAAGCGUUGUUCGGAUUUACUGGGCGUAAAGGGCGCGUAGGCGGAUGGUACAGUCAGAUGUGAAAAUUCCCGGGCUUAACCUGGGGGCUGCAUUUGAUACGUAUUGUCUUGAGUUCGGAAGAGGGUCGUGGAAUUUCCAGUGUAGAGGUGAAAUUCGUAGAUAUUGGAAAAGAACACCGGUGGCGAAGGCGGCGACCUGGUCCGACACUGACGCUGAGGCGCGAAAGCGUGGGGAGCAAACAGG